rnacentral:ncRNA from 1 species
AAUUAAAAAUUUUUAUAGUUUGAAAAAUUUACUCAAAAUUUAUUUUACAUAUAAAUUUUAGUGUUAAUUAUUAAUUUAUUUUAAUAAUAAUAAUAAUAAUAAUAAUUUUAGUAAUUAAUAUUAAAAAUUUAAGCAAUUAAGAUUUAGUAAUAAUUUAAUUAAAAACUAAUUUUGUGCCAGCAGUUGCGGUUAAACAAAAUUUAAAGUAAAUUUUAUUAGUAAAAUUAAUUAAUAAUUUAUAAUUUAAAUUAAAUAUUAAAUUAUUAAGUGAAAUUUUAAUUUAAUAAAAAUUUAUAAAAAAAUUAUGAAAUUAAUAAAUUAUAUUAAAAACUAGGAUUAGAUACCCUAUUAUUAUUAAAUUAAAUGGUAAUACUAAAAUAGUAUUUAAUAAUUUAUUGAAAUUUAAAUAAUUUGGCGGUAUUUUAGUUCAUUCAGAGGAAUCUGUUUAAUAAUUGAUAAUCCACGAAUAAAUUUACUUAAUUUAUAAUUUUGUAUAUCGUUGUUAAAAAAAUAUUUUAUAUUAAAAAUAAUAUUUUAAAAUUUAAAAAAUAAAUUAAAUCAGAUCAAGAUGCAGAUAAUAAUUAAGAAUAUAAUGGAUUACAAUAAAUUUAUUUAAAUGAAAAAUAAUUUGUAAGAAUUAUAUGAAGGUGGAUUUGAAUGUAAUUUUAUUUAAUUUAAUAAAAUGAUUAAAAGUUAAAAUAUGUACAUAUUGCCCGUCGCUUUCAUAAAUAAGUUGAAAUAAGUCGUAACAAAGUAGAGGUACUGGAAAGUGUUUCUAGAAAGAU